rnacentral:lncRNA from 1 species
AAAGCAUGAAUACUUCAUGAAUAGUUAUGACAUGCAUCUGUACAAUUUCUAAGUCUUUUCGCUGAGAUGAGACCCUCAACAACCAUAUAUGUGAUGCGAAAAAUUCUCUAUAAUGGAACUGAAAAAGGAAAGAGAUUGUAAAUUAAGGUUAUAUGAUUUUCUCUCUUUUACAAGGAAAAAAGAAGUCUAACUUAAUGUUCCCAAUAUAUACUAUUGGAGCAUUGGUAGAGUACACAGCCCAAUGAUGAUCCUUACCUACAAAGCUUCAUUCAUCUCAAAGUUCUCUUGAAUGAUGUGCCUCGAAAUUAACAGAGAAGAGAGUGGAAAAAAAUUAUAUAAUUUCCAAGGGAUGCAUCGAAGAAGCCUUCAUAUGUAUGUAUAUAUGGAAUAGGAAAAAAACUACCAACGAGGUAUGCAUCUUUAAAGGAAGUCGGAGGAUCACAACAAGCCAUAGGAUGGAUGCCUUCAUACAAGCCCCCCAACAAAACCAUGAGAGAGAGAGAGAGAUACCUCGGAACUGGACUUGGCCUCGACUCAGUCAAGUCGGCUGAGUCAACCUGCCAAGCUCUCUAGCUGGAGCUCCACUGCCUAGCUGAGCGAGAUCAUCGUUCGGCCAAGCUAGGGAGGACAAAGUGGUAGAACAGUAUGCUACCCAAAGUAGAUCAACCGCGCUAACCUAGGAUCCAUAAUAAACACUUAAAAAAAGGUAACAGAGAAGAGAUGUUGGAAUAAAAAAUUUAGGAGCGAAGAAGAAAAAAAAAUUAUUAAAAAAAAUU